ACAAUUAAUUAUCAGGCAAGAGAGUUCCAGUGUUCAACAACCACGCGAGACGAGUCUUCUUCCGCUAACACGAACGGUUUUCUCCGCAACGCGAUCAAUGCGAAAGCUUCGAUUUGGUGAUCGGAAUGAUUGGAUGUGAAUUUUGGUGAGGAUUUGUAAGUUUUUGUGAUUGGAGGUGGAGAAGAAGUGAUUUUUUGGAAGGAUCUGAUCGAGAAUGAACUUUAACCAGCAUUUGGUCAUGGAAGGAGGAUGUGAAGUUAAGGGCGGAGGAGGAGGAAGUGGUUUGGCGCGGCUGGCGUCCGUCUACUCGCUGACGUUCGACGAGUUCCAGAGUUCGUUGGGAGGAUUCGGGAAGGACUUUGGCUCGAUGAACAUGGACGAGCUGCUGAAGAAUAUCUGGACCGCGGAAGAGAGCCAGGCGAUGGCAGGCGCCGUUGCGCCCGGUGUCGGAGAGGGCGGCAUCCAGGGGCAGGGGUCUUUCACUCUCCCUCGGACUCUGAGCCACAUGACGGUCGAUGAGAUCUGGCGAGACCUUGUCUGCCCAGCCCAUGCCGCCCCGGCUCCCGCCGCCGUUGGUGUCUCGCAGCAACAUCGGCAUCCGACGCUGGGCGAGAUAACCCUUGAGGAAUUCCUGGUCAAAGCUGGCGUUGUCAAAGAGGAACCAGCCACCAUCCUGCCGCCGAGGCCGAUCGGCAAUACGACGGGCAAUGUGAUCUUCAACGAUCUACCAGUUGUGAACAAUGCCACUGAUUUUUCUCUUGGAUUUUCACCGGCUGGCCGAAGCAGUAGAGGUUCUGGUGUGAGCAAUCAGAUUGUUGAUAGUGCUGCGGUUAAUUUGGCGAUGAUAGCUGCCAACGAGGCAAUGCCAUUUGCAGUACCGCGGAGCGUGGUUGAUUUGGGGAAUCAGGCUAUUAGAAGGGGAGGUCUUGCAGGAGUCGGCGAAGCAGGGAUGAAUGGUGGAUUCAUGCCUGGAGCUGUUGCCUUGGGCGCAGGAGCAGGUACAGUUACAGUUGCCUCUCCAGUGAACCAUGCGCGCUCACAUUCUUUCAGGAAGAGAAGUCGAGAUCAGUCUUCUGUAUCAUCAGUUCCAUACCCUUUUAGCGGAGGGUUGAGAGGAAGGAAAUCCAGUGCUGUGGAGAAGGUAUUUGAGAGGAGACAGAGGCGGAUGAUCAAGAACAGAGAGUCGGCUGCUAGAUCACGUGCCAGGAAGCAGGCUUAUACGAUGGAGUUGGAAACUGAAGUGGCAGAACUAAAAGAACUAAACCAAGAAUUGCAGAAGAAACAGACUUAUACGAUGAAGUUGGAAACUGAAGUGGCAUAACUAAAAGAAUUAAACCAAGAAUUGCAGAAGAAACAGGCAAAAAUGAUGGAGAUGCAGAAAAAUCAGGUGUUGCGGAUGAUCAAUCAGCAACCAGGGCCAAAGAAACCGUGCCUGAGAAGGACACAAACAGGGCCCUGGUAAAGUUGUGCAUGGACAGUGAUAACAUGAUAUAUCCUAGCUGUUUUCUAAAAGCGAUCUUGUCUAUAUCAGUGAUAGUGUCAUCUCCUGUAAAUUAAACAAUCAAUAUAGACUCAGCAUCAUACUUAUGAGUGCUUGGAUUUCAUUUCAA